rnacentral:lncRNA from 1 species
GUUAUCAAUUUUAUUUACGCUCUUUGACAAGACAAACAAUUUUAUCAUUGAUUUUAAGGACGCUUAAUCAAAUCAAUGAUUUCGAUUUUGAGACCUCGACGGUGUACAAUUAGCUUAAGUCUAUAAGAAUUUACACACGACGACUCUCAAAAUUACUUCUUGAGAACAAAAAUGAAAUUACGAGUAAACAUGAAACUUUUCUAAUGGUUAAAAACGUAGUUGGUCACUAAACAUCAAAUAAUUUUUGUUGGGUGUGGAAAAUUAGAAAAAAAUAAAUAAAUAAAAUAAAAUGGGAACACACUAGAAAUUAUUCUCCUAAAAAGACAUUCUUUGACUUAUUUUUAGCAUGGGAUAAAAGUGUAAAUUAAACAUAAGAUAAUAUUAAAUUAAAAGUAUGCAGGGAUGGCAGGAAGUUGAGGCUCAGAUCAGAUCUAUUGGAUUGAAGAGGCAAGGAGAAUAUGACCGCGCCAUGGCUGCAUAAUCACCGGUGGCAUAAAAUCAGAUGCCAUCCCGGUUGCCCCGCCAAGAUACGGGUCAGUUAAUCUCAAGGCCCGAUUCAUCAGCUCAGAAGAAUCAAAAUCAUCGUCAUAGCCUCUGCAAAAUCAGAUCGAUACAGUUACGGAACUCUCUCGCUGAUAUAUAGAGAGAUCUCCGCUCUCUCAGUGUGUGUGUAUGUAUGUAGUAUGAAUUAUGGUGGAAUCGAAUCCAAGAACAAAAGGGUAAUUAUAUAUAUUUCCGCUUGCAUCAGAUAACAUUGGCUGUUUCUAAUUUCUCAAGGGCUGUUGAUAUUUACAGGAUGGAAAUCAUCGGUUUCACAGAGAGGGGCAACCACCCUUAAAGAAUUCCCAGUCUCUCUGUAAACCUCAUUCUUCACUCCCAAGCACCUAGCCCUGGAUUCUGGUUUACCUCUUAAUUUAUAGUACAGCGCUGUUCCCAAUUUAUCCCUUCUUUGUGUUCCAUUUUGCAGACCAGGAGAAUACUUGGGUUAGCGGGGAAAAGGAUAUAGUGGUGAUUUCGCAUGUACCACAACUUUUGUUAGCACUAGACACACUUCUCCACUUCACGGCAAAAGAUGUGAAGUUGAAUUAUUUGACUAAGGCUCCUGUUUGACAAUGAUAAGCAAA